rnacentral:rRNA from 1 species
CGCCGCUACCAUGCAGUCGACGAGAAAGGGUAGCAAUACCUGAGUUAAAGUGGCGUACGGGUGAGUAACACGUGGAUCAUAUACCUUUUAGUGGGGAAUACCCUUGGGAAACCGAGGACAAUACCGCAUAAUCCCGAGAGGGGAAAGCAGCAAUGCGCUGAAAGAGUAGUCCGCGGCUGAUUAGCUAGUUGGUAGGGUAAUGGCCUACCAAGGCAUUGAUCGGUAGCCGGCCUGAGAGGGCACACGGCCACACUGGCACUGAAACACGGGCCAGACUCCUACGGGAGGCAGCAGUGGGGAAUCUUGCACAAUGGACGAAAGUCUGAUGCAGCGACGCCGCGUGAGCGAUGAAGCCCUUCGGGGUGUAAAGCUCUUUCGACAGGAACGAUAAUGACGGUACCUGGAGAAGAAGCUGCGGCUAACUACGUGCCAGCAGCCGCGGUAAUACGUAGGCAGCGAGCGUUGUUCGGAAUUACUGGGCGUAAAGCGUGCGUAGGCGGUGCCUCAAGUUUGGUGUGAAAUCUCCCGGCUCAACCGGGAGGGUGCGCCGAAAACUGAGGUGCUCGAGUGUGGGAGAGGUAAGCGGAAUUCCUGGUGUAGCGGUGAAAUGCGUAGAUAUCAGGAGGAACACCGGCGGUGUAGACGGCUUACUGGACCAUAACUGACGCUGAGGCGCUAAAGUGUGGGGAGCAAACAGGAUUAGAUACCCUGGUAGUCCACACCCUAAACGAUGCAUAUUUUGGUGUGAGCCAUUUCA